rnacentral:rRNA from 1 species
UACGUAGGGGGCUAGCGUUGUCCGGAUUUAUUGGGCGUAAAGAGCGUGUAGGCGGUCAGGUAGGUCCGUUGUGAAAACUCGAGGCUCAACCUCGAGACGCCGAUGGAAACCAUCUGACUAGAGUCCGGAAGAGGAGAGUGGAAUUCCUGGUGUAGCGGUGAAAUGCAUAGAUACCCUGCAGAACACCGAUUGCGAAGGCAGCUUACUAAGUUGUUACUGACUGCUG